rnacentral:rRNA from 1 species
UACAGAGGUCUCAAGCGUUGUUCGGAUUCAUUGGGCGUAAAGGGUGCGUAGGCGGCGCGGUAAGUCGGGUGUGAAAUUUCGAGGCUUAACUUCGAAACUGCAUUCGAUACUGCCGUGCUAGAGGACUGGAGAGGAGACUGGAAUUUACGGUGUAGCGGUGAAAUGCGUAGAUAUUAGGAAGAACACCAGUGGCGAAGGCGGCUCACUGGCCCGGUACUGACGCUGAGGCGCGAAAGCGUGGGGAGCAAACAGG